CUUCAAGGUAAAUGCGUACUGCAGAGCUUUGCAGCGCCAGGUUGAGAGGACAUCUUACGAGCUCGUCUGUCUUAGAGGAAAGAAUACCAAACGCGAUUCAUGUUCACUGUGCUGUCUCCUAUCACCCAAGGCAGCCGAUAUGUUCGUUUCGUAGUCUUGCAGGUGCAUUGUUCCGGCAUGUGGAGGGAAAGCCGCUGUGGGCGGUGCAACAAGUGACUUGCAUGAGAGGAAGCUCUUGAGAGGCAGAGGCAGGGGCUAAGCCUUGAGCCGGUUUUGUGCUUCAAAACCAAGAGAUGAUAGCGUGAGCAGCUCCUCCUUCCCUUUCUGCGCUUUGAGCGAGCACAAUUUAUGGGCAAAAUACUGUAUUAAAAAUCAGACUACAGAACUUGAAAGUGACUGCAGUUCUUGUUUUCACAAUUCCUUGCUCUCAGAACGUCACCGGGUUAUUUAUUCUACCAUUUGGAUAAGAUUUUUCUUAUUUUCUUGUCCACGAGGGGCAGGGACCAAGAUUCAGCUGUCCAUCCACAGAAUACUUGAAAGAGUGCUGAUGCAAAUGUGAGCUGCUGAUAGAAGUCCAUCCGUGCUGCUCACAGCUUCUCUCAGGAGCCGAUACGUCAGGCACAGCUGUCCUGCUUUGCAUUGAAAAGCUUCUGGCACCGGUCAUUAGCUGCUGAAUUUGGGCUAGUUCUGAUACUGCCAAGGUUGUAAUCUUUGUGAAUGGAGGAUACCAGCGGCAUGUCAGCAGCGAGCCCCUCCAUGGAGAAGUCAGAAUUGCACGUUUUUAACAAGAAUUUGGGCUUCUCUAUGCAGAGAAUAAGAAAACUAAUGGUCAAUGGUCUGCAGCGGAGGAGGCCUGGAUUCCCUUCCUGGCUGUGACGUAAAGCAAGCCAGGACUCUGACCAUGGAUCAUCUUAUCUAUCUCAUUUAUUUCUCCCAUCAGUGUUCUGUUCUGUGUAAAUAAAGUGUAAAAUAAGCUUGUCUUACUUGAGUAGCAUUUCAUAAAUCAUACUUGCAGGUGUUAAAUUUAAAAAAAAAAAAAAAAGUUAUUCAUUUUAUAUAGAAAAUUUGGCCUGUAAGUGGAAAUGAAGAGGUUUCUCAAAAAAAAACCCAAACCAAAAACCAAGAAGCACUUUAAUUACUUCAUUUUGGCAAUGCCCUUGUCUUACAAGCAAGUGUUCUUGAAUAGAACAGAUGAAUAACCCACGUAUGGAUGAGUGUAAUCCAUUCAUUUCUGUGUGAAGCCAAAGUCAUUCAGAAUACAAAUCACAUCAGAAGUCCAAGUGAUGAUCAGAAGUAUAUUUGACAGUAUGCUAUAGGGAGCCAAAAUAACAAAUUGACUGACUAGGUCCUUUCAUCUCCUGCUUCUGUGGUUUUUAUAUUUGAGCCCCUCUGUUGUCUGAAGGUGGUCAA